rnacentral:misc_RNA from 1 species
CCGAGUUAUCAACUCACCAAACCCACUGCGAAUAUACCCAAACUCAGCUCCUCCGGCAGGCGGCCCCAGGGCGGGGCCUUAGCCUUUUUGGCGCCUGCCGAAGGUAGCGCAAUUUUUACUCUUUACCAGUACAAUCUGAGUCCUUUGACAAAAUAUCA